rnacentral:lncRNA from 1 species
CUCUCGGGAAAGCGCAGCCUCGCGCCCCUGCGCGCGGCCGCUCCGCCCUCACCUGAGCCUGAGGUUGGCCAUGAACUCGGGCAUGGAGACGGUGUCCAUCAGCACGAAGUCUGCCUUGCCGAAUUCCAGGCUCUCCUGCUCCGCCAUGGCGCCAGCGCGGGGGCUCAGGAUUAUUGCGGAUGUCUUGAGCAUGGGACCAUUCUUUUUGCAUCCACCAAAUAACUAUUGUACUACUUUGCAUAUAUAAAUAUGAAAUCCAUACUGGUUCAGUGGAAUGAAGUGAGUUGACAUCUUCUAUUACAAAAUCUACGAGGAAAUCUAGAGGCCUCCAAGGACCUGGCUGGGCUUCAACUCUGGCUGAGUUUGAGAUGAGUAAACCAGACUGAAGGACCUUGCCCAAGGCCUGCUUCAGCUGCCAGCCACCCACACUUGCUAAGAGAAAGGAAAGGAGCUUUGUCACCUCCUGAGGGACUGCCUCUGCCAUCAGAAAACCACCCCAAUCCCUGGCACCAGCAGAGCUGGGUUGCAUCUGACUACCGUUAGCAGCUGUCCUUCAGAAGGAGGAGAUCCACCUGUCUCGAUAUCAGUGUCCUCAUUUGUGGAAUAAAAGCUCUGGAAUAAGAUCCACCCUGAUUUCAGCGGGCGUUCCUGGGUCUUGUAUGCACUAGGUGCCCUCAAUGCUUGGCAACUGGAAUGGGUUAGCCUGGAGGCAUUUAGGCUGUCCUUCUACAACCACAGAAGAGCCAUCACUGGCAGAGAGAUCCUUGGCGCAGUUAAGCAGAGAUCUUCUCAGAAGAGCUUUUGAAUAAAUGAAGUUGUUCAGAAUGGCCUUGUUAAAAUGACUCACUUGUCAAAAAACUAGAUGUGUUGGAAGGCUGGGUUGGAAGACAAGAUGUCUGAGAAGCUGUCCUGCUGCAUGAGGAGUUUCAUUGCUACACACCUAGUCUCUGGGUCCUGUGUUUUUGGCCUCCAGCUUACUUCGUGAACAUAAUAAAGGAAAGGCAUUUUCUCUUGUGCAUGCUAUGUGUGCAUGUGUGUAUGUA